rnacentral:rRNA from 1 species
AUUGAACGCUAGCGGGAUGCUUUACACAUGCAAGUCGAACGGCAGCGCGGACUUCGGUCUGGCGGCGAGUGGCGAACGGGUGAGUAAUGUAUCGGAACGUGCCCAGUAGCGGGGGAUAACUACGCGAAAGCGUAGCUAAUACCGCAUACGCCCUACGGGGGAAAGCAGGGGAUCGUAAGACCUUGCACUAUUGGAGCGGCCGAUAUCGGAUUAGCUAGUUGGUGAGGUAACGGCUCACCAAGGCGACGAUCCGUAGCUGGUUUGAGAGGACGACCAGCCACACUGGGACUGAGACACGGCCCAGACUCCUACGGGAGGCAGCAGUGGGGAAUUUUGGACAAUGGGGGCAACCCUGAUCCAGCCAUCCCGCGUGUGCGAUGAAGGCCUUCGGGUUGUAAAGCACUUUUGGCAGGAAAGAAACGUCGCGGGCUAAUACCCCGUGGAACUGACGGUACCUGCAGAAUAGGCACCGGCUAACUACGUG